CUAACCUUGAAAAUACCCCCUGUUUGGAUUUUACUUGGAAGGAGGUAGUUCAAUAUAGCAGGUUUAAUUAAUUAAGAAAGAAUGGGAUGCGACGACGACGAAACGCAUAAUAUCCAGUUUAAAAAGAAGAAGAAGACGAAACCUUUAAGGAAACGCGAAGCUUCUCGGUUUGAGCGAGGGAGAGAAAAUGUCCAAGUAGAAAGUCGAGGAAACAAAGAUUAUUUAGAAAUUCUGUGAGAGACUGGCUGGCGUCGAUACUGUUGGUUUGACGCUCGGGGGAAAGCGUUGUAUCUGAUAUGUUUUGGAUAAGACACAUAUAUGUACAUGUAAUAAAAGUGAAAUUCACGAUAGAUCGGAGAAGUAACGCGAGGUCUAUGUUAAUUUAGUCGGAUCCCUUUAAUAUAAAAACCGGAGGAAAAUAUGGUUAUGCUGAAGAAUACAAAACAUAAAUCGAACGGUGCAGACUGGCAUUGGAAUCCAAUUUAACGCAGAGACCAAUAAACGGGAUGAAGACGAAGAAAUGAUCAAGAAGAUGUAGAAGAAUAAUUGUCGAAGCGCAAGAGUAAAUAUAAUAACGUAAUGAAUGGUAUGAAUAAUGAUAAGGGACCAUAUUGCUUGCCAGAGGAAGCAGCAUUGCACGCAAUACGGAACACAUGUUAAAUGAGAAAAUUUGAGGAGUGAUUUUGAUCCAGCAGCAGGAAUGUCAGGUGACUAGGAGGAGAACCAAUGUAGCCACAAUGUCUUGAUCAGUGAGUAGCACACAGGACAAAGGUAAUUUGUCUUGUUUUUAGAUUUGAAUUUUUGCUUUUAUAGAGCUUAUAUUUCUACAAGAUUGUAUUUCUAGCUUGUAUUUCUAUCCUUUAGUCCAAAGUAUUCUUGUAUUUCUAUCCUUUGGUCCAAAGUAUUGUAUUUUUAUCCUUUGGUGAAUGUGACACGGAUGCACACCACAGAACGAUUUUAUUGACAGUAUCGAAAAGUGGAUGGAGUAUAUAGUUCUACAUCCAUAUUUGGCCCUGCUACAUCCAUAUUUCGGUCGCAUGAAAAAUGCCACAGUGGCCGCUCUCAGGCUUCUCUCUGAUAAUAGCACAUAGUGUGGCGCUAGCAUUAAAUUUUUGUUAGGUUUCUAGAUUUUAAUAUAUGAGUAUGUAUAGUAAACAAAUUAAUUUAAAUAUAAGUUUGUUGUUUUAUACAUACAAUAUAUUGUAAAUAUAUGUUUUGUAGAAGAUGAUAAUUAUAAAGAUCUUGGAAAAAAAGCACAGGAACUCAAAUUCAAUAUAAAUUCAAUGAGAAACAAGUUAACAUAAAAAUUUAACAGCAUUUUAGAAACAGCUCAUUCACUUGAUGUCAAAUUAAGAUGUAGUAAUUUAGCAAGUGAACGAGCCGUUUCUAAAACAAGUUUCAACUUUUACGAUUUUACAAUUAUCUCACUGAAGAGGACAGUGACAAUUGACACUGUCGUGUUGAAAGUGUUGAAAUGAUUUAGUAUCUCUUUAACUUUUAUAAUUUAUGACAAAUGAAGAGAUAGAGCUAUAGAAGAAAACAAUAUACCGAUUAAUUAUCUUUUUCUGAUAAUAUACUGAAUACCUCAAAUAGAUGAAAGUUAAGAAUUUAAAAUAUAAAGAAAAUAUUAAAAAACAAUUUAAAAAAUAAAAAAUAUAUAAAACAAAAAUAUAAAAAAAGAUAACAGAUUAUAUUAAAAGUUUUUUAUAUUGUUGUAAAUGAUAAGCUUUGCAUUAUAAGUUACUUUUUUAUAUGGUUUAUAUAAAUCAUGUAAUUAUAAAGUACAUAAUAAAAAUACAUUUUUUUGUACUAUGGUAAUAAAAUUUUAUUUCUAAAAGGAUUUAUACAUAUAUAUGCUGCACGCACAUGUGUGUAAAAACAUUUAAUUUACCACAAUAUGGAAACUUUAAAUUAAAAUUUCAUUUCAAUAUUUUAUUGUUGAUUAUUAACUGGUGAAGAAACAUUAAAGCAUAAUAAGAGAAAUUAUUAUAUAACAUUCUAAGUUGAAUCAGAGAGCAAGUUUUUCUGAUGGACAAAAUCAAUUAUUUUAAUGUAGCUUAAUUUAUAUUUUCUCUCCAGAAAUAUAACUCUCUGUCACUUCCACCAUAAAUGUAGGAUAAUUUAUAGUGCCAUGUCAUACCACUAAUUAACUUUACCUUUUCACAUAAUACCACUACUUUUGAUGUUAAAUUAAAAACUUCAACAAAUUAUCCCAUCGUCUGAUACUUGAUACAAGAUCUUUAUUCGCGUGAGGCUCUUAUUGUUAUACCUUCCAUGUGAAGUAUCUGCUCAUCAAGGGACCAACUAGAAAUGAAUAAAAAAAUUUAAUAAAGCAAGGAUUAGGAUAACAUUGAAAAA